rnacentral:rRNA from 1 species
GUGGAUUAGAUACCCUGGUAGUCCACGCGGUAAACGAUGACGACUAGGUGUGGGGGGGUUAAGUCCCUUCCGUGCCGCAGCUAACGCAUUAAGUCGUCCGCCUGGGGAGUACGGCCGCAAGGUUGAAACUCAAAGGAAUUGACGGGGGCCCGCACAAGCGGUGGAGCAUGUGGUUCAAUUCGAUGCAGAGCGAAGAACCUUACCUGGGCUUGACAUGUAGGAAGUAGAAACCGGAAACGGGGACGACCUGUUGAGUCAGGAGCCUACACAGGUGGUGCAUGGCCGUCGACAGCU